AAGGAAUAUUGGACAAUGGCCGCAAGGCUGAUCCAGCCAUGCCGCGUGAAGGAUGAAGGUGCUAUGCAUUGUAAACUUCUUUUGUCCCGGAAUAAACCCCUGAUUUCUAUCGGGGCUGAAUGUACGGGAAGAAUAAGGGACGGCUAACUUCGUGCCAGCAGCCGCGGUAAUACGAAGGUCCCAAGCGUUAUCCGGAUUUAUUGGGUUUAAAGGGUGCGUAGGCGGGUUGUUAAGUCAGUGGUGAAAGCCUACAGCUCAACUGUAGAAUUGCCAUUGAUACUGACGAUCUUGAGUAUGGUUGAGGAGGGCGGAAUGUGUCAUGUAGCGGUGAAAUGCUUAGAUAUGACACAGAACACCGAUUGCGAAGGCAGCUCUCUAAGCCAAUACUGACGCUGAUGCACGAAAGCGUGGGGAGCAAAC
rnacentral:rRNA from 1 species